UACGUAGGGUGCAAGCGUUGUCCGGAAUUAUUGGGCGUAAAGGGCUCGUAGGCGGUCCAUCGCGUCGGGAGUGAAAAGCUGGGGCUUAACCCCAGUCCUGCUUCCGAUACGGGUGGACUAGAGGUAGGUAGGGGAGAUCGGAAUUCCUGGUGUAGCGGUGAAAUGCGCAGAUAUCAGGAGGAACACCGGUGGCGAAGGCGGCGAUCUGGGAAGAUACUGACGCUGAGGUGCGAAAGCGUGGGGAGCGAACAGG
rnacentral:rRNA from 1 species